CGCUAGUAAUCGCGAAUCAGAAUGUCGCGGUGAAUACGCUCCCGGGUCUUGUACACACCGCCCGUCACACCAUGGGAGUCGGAAAUGCCCGAAGUCAGUGACCUAACAGUAAUGAGGCAGCAGUCGAAGGUAGAGCCAAUGAUUGGGGUGAAGUCGUAACAAGGUACC
rnacentral:rRNA from 1 species